rnacentral:rRNA from 1 species
AUGCUACCACUACCCGUCCACCUGCCCUUCAUGCGCGGCCACUACUGGGUGGGCAUGAAGGCCAACUGGAUCGUCCUUAUCCACCAAUCCGGUAGUCUGUGGCGUCUCGUGGAUAUCUACACCCAGCGAGAGAUCGCCCUUCCAUCUUUGGAUACCGCCGCCAUCGAGCCUCGCGGCCCGGACACUCCUGCCUACUACGCACGAGACGCAGUUGAUAUGAUAACUGUAGACCUGGAAUCAUACCAGCCGAUGGGUGGUGGUUUAUCGCUCGUUCAGCUGACGAUGAUACCUUUCUGGGAUCAAGUGCAUCCCAACUCACCUGCACAGGAUGUACUGAUAAAGAUGAUGGAGAUGUACCAUAUAACUGGAAUUAACCCAUGCAAGUCGAAGAAGGAUUGGCCGGUGCUGCCGGCUGGCGUCAAGUUCGAUCCCACGGAUCAGGAGCUGAUCGAGCACCUUGAGGCCAAAGUGAGAGCUGACAGCGCGAGAUCUCACCCUGUCAUCGAUUUGUUCAUACCAACCAUCGACAGCGAGCACGACAUAUGCUACACCCAUCCUGAGAAAUUUCCAGGUAUCACACUGAGUGGCCUAAGAAAGCAUUUCUUCCAGCGCAAUUCCAGGGCGUUCAAAAGGGGCACGUGGACGCGUCGGAAGAUACAGUCGGAGUGCGGCAUGCACGCGAUGUGGCACAACACCGGCAAUACCUUGCCGGUGAUGGUCAACGGCCAGCAGACGGGCAGUAAAAAGGUUCUGGUGCUGCACACCAACAAGAACUUCGACCAGCAGAGGACCAACCGGGUGAUGCACCAGUACCACCUCGGGGACCUGGAGCAAGAGAAGGAGCGGGAGUUGGUCCUCUGCAAGAUUUUCUACCAGACGAACACUAGGGCCAGGAGUAAAAAGAUUAUAAGUUAG